rnacentral:rRNA from 1 species
GACAACGGAAGCUCUUUUCCAUGAAAUAGCUCAAGAGGAUCUUGAAAGCUAAGCAGGGUCAGGCCUGGUUAGUACUUGGGCGGGAGACCUCCUGGGAAUACCAGGUGCUGUAGGCU